ACAUCCUCCCACCCACGUACGCCGGAUUUUUUUUCCUCCACCUCCGUUUCGCUUCCCUCGCCCCCCGCCGCCGCCGCCGCCCAGGCUUCUUCCCUCCCACGUCCCCCUAAUUUCCCCCCCUAACCCGGCUAGGGUUCUCACCCGCCGCCGCUUCGUUGCCGCCACAUAAUCUAUCCUCCCCUUCCCCGUGCGACGGGCGGCAUGAUGUCGCCGAUUCUGCGCCCGAGCGCGACGAGGCCGCCCCCAUGGUUGCCAUCGGCGCUCCAUGAUCCGCCGCCUCCCCCACCCUCCUCUCCAUACGCCGCCGUUCCUCCGCAACCCGACGGCCUCCACAAACACCACCACCACGGUCGGAUCUUGGACGGCAGGCGGCGAUGGCGUGCAGCGGAAGAGCAAGAGGGGGGCGUGAAGGCUGGCCGCCGCCGUGAGGAUACCGGCGCCCGUGCGAGCCGUGGUGACGUGGCGGCGAAAGAAGUUGGCCUUCCCAGCGCGCCGCGCGGUGGCCACCGUCUCCCCCGCGCCCGCAAGAGAGGUGUCCAUGAUACCGGUACUGGGGUACGAGGGCGCACCUCCUGGGCGGACUACCGGCAGUUGAUGAAGUGCAGGUCUCUUCUGCAGUACAUGGGGGAUGAUUGCAAGGUGUGCGAGGAGAGUGGAGGGCGUUGUCGGAUCAACACCACCUAUGAUAUCUUCGAGUGCCACUGCUCCGACCACAUUUCUCCGUCCACCUGUGGUACAAGAAGAGAGCGAAGAAGAUUAUACUAAUAGGUAUAACAUUGGCAGCUGCAACCUUUCUCUUUGCACGUCUUUAUGUGCCAAUAUUUCUCCUAUAAAAGCCGCUACUCUACCCGCCAUCCUGAGUUACCUUUGUCGUGCAGUAGUUUUGGAUCGCACGAUCUGCCUUGUUGGCUUGAUUUUACGGCGCUGUCAAAAAUCGCUCCGUUCGUUUCUCUGCACGUUAUUCUUUUGUGCUGAAGUGGAUGUCAGGCGGGCCUCCUUUCUCCACGGGCCCAUUUUACAGCUACACUGGGAAGAAAUCUCAGUGUCCCUUAUUUUUUUGUGCGCAGUCAAAGUGGGUGAAAAGUUAGCUGCCAAUCCCCUCCCGUCCUUGAUCCCUACACCCCAUGCCUCGUCUUUCCUCCUCUCGACAGCCGCCAUGCCCCUUCUCCUCCUUCUCCUCUACCCAGCGCUGCCUCUCCUCCUCUUCUUCGAUCAGAUCCUGUCGGAUCCUCUCCCGCGUGCCGGCUUCUCCUCGAAGAGAAGGGUAACAUGGUUCAGCACCAGUGAAGUUGGUCUUGGGCACGCUGCUGCUGGAGGGAAGGCGGUCCGCCGGCACUCGUGUCUCCUAACCAGGCGUUUCUUCCCCCGGCGCCCAAGGUGAAUCCACGACCUAGGACAUGGUAUGUAGGUGCCGUGCUGUUCUUCCUCCCCUUCGAUUGUUCCAUGGCCACCAGCAGCAACAGGAGGAAAGUCAAGCCCCGACGUUGACCAGAUUCGUGCCCCUGUAUUUAGUUGAUCUGGUUUGUUCUUCUGGAUGUAUAGCUUUCUUUCACAGCUUGGUUGAAGAGCACAUUCGGUGUGCCUGCCAUGACUGCUUGUUCUGCUUGUUGUUUCCUUCGAUUGUUGUCAUGGCCCUCGGUCCUUCGGUUGCUCCGAUCUACGAGGUUGCUGCUGGUUUUUGGGUUCUUGGCUGCGUUGCAUCUUUACCCACCGUGGUCUGCGUUUGGGGUAACAAAUAAUUUUGUUAUUGUUCUUGCAGGCGGUCACACAAUGGCCGCCUUAUAUUAGUAGAAGUUCCUACUCUCAAAAGUAAAACAGUACCAAGUGGGCUGCGAUUCAGAUACUCUUUGAGAACGCCGAUGCUUUACCAAAAAACUGUAUGAUGACGUCGAUGACGUCAGAUUGUAUAUAAUGCAUGGCGGUAGCAUACCCUAGCGUGGCUUGGGCAAGGGAGGCUGUGGACCAUCAGCAGAAAGGUUGACCAAAACUGUUGGCACAUAUUGAUCAUCAUCGGGAGGUCGACUAAUAAUCACAUUGUGCUACUAGCGAAAUACAAAGAUAUUGAUAGAUUACAAUACAAAUGGUCUUUAAAGUCCAGUUGGAAGCUCCUCCCUGUAAUUGAUGAAGGCAAGAUUUACUACUUCCAGGGAGUAAGAGAUCAAAGUACAGCAGCAUUUAAAGAAGUGGCAAUAAUUAGCCAUCCCCGUGCUGGUGAAUACGCAUUUGGAUUUAUAACAUCGAGCAUGAUUCUCCAGCUCUCUACGGAAAUAAUUGUUUCUGGAGGAAUGACCAUGCCGCAGGUGAUUACAGUGCUAGGACCUGCCACUGAUAAGAACCAGGGCACCCGUUGAAACAGAAUGAUGACUGUGUGAGACUUAAAAUAUCGCCAGCACAUCAGGUAUAAUCGAAAACUUUCCUCCAGGCCCUGUGGGUUGCGACUGAACUUAGAUUUCUGAUCCCUGGCUUAAGUUCCUGUAGGUAUUGGCAUCUAACCUUUGUAGAUGUUUACAGUGGAUAAUGCUACAUCCGAUGUACAAUUUGUAGAUUAGAAGCUGGAACAUAAGGACUGUGUGAUGGAGUAAACACUGGUUGUAUAUAUUAGGCGGGAGGGAUAUAAAAGUGCCGUGCUCACACCGCACUUAGGUGGCUUAAUAAGAUUACUGAAAAUGGUUUGUGGUUCUUGUGUGCUCACAGAACGACAGCUUAGUUACUGAUGUUAGGUCAUUACAAUGCAACUUCAACUGAGACCGGUUAAAUUUUUUCAAGUUUUUAUU